UAUGCAUGUGGAGGACUGAUUAUAGAGGCUUGGGCAUGUCUAGUUUCAUCCUCUACUCAUUUAAAGUUAAUUUUUUUUGAUGAAUUGAUAACCCGAUUGAUAUGUGAUAAUGAUUUCAUGGUUCUUAUUAUGCUUAGAUGACUUAAUGUCAUACAUAAGAAAUUUGUAUGUUUUUUGCAUUAAAGGAAUUUUUUUCAAUACAAAUUGAAUGUUCAACUCUUUAUUGAAUAUCCUGGUAUUGCUUGAGUUUCUAGCUGAACUGAUCUAUGUGAAAAAUCAGUGCAAGGAGAGAAAAAGCGAGAGGAAAACAGAGGAACAAACUUGUUCAUUGGUUCAACAAAGCUUGUUUUUUUUUUCUUUCUUUUUCAUAGAAGUAUACUGUGGCAUUUUUUUCUUUCAUUAUAUUAUAUUUGGAUCAUCAUAUGAAAAUUUUGAUAUAGAGUUUAGUACCUGUUUGAACUCCAUAUUCUAUUACACCUCUCCUUUAAAUGAGAUAUGAGAUUCAAUGGAUCUACCCUAGAAAUAAUAGUAUCAUUCUAAAUGCUUUUGUAACUCAAAUCUCCCAAACUUUUAACAUGCUGUCUAAGUAAUUAAGCAUUUGAACAAGUGGAAUUUUGAAAUGUAUGUGCAGAGAAAGCAGGGCUGUUGACACUUAAUCGCUUUGUGUUCUUCCAGGGAAAUUGGUUUGGGCCAUCCGUAUUGACCUCCAUAUUCUAGAUAAUGGAGGAAACCUUGUGGAUACUGCAAAUAUUGCUGCUUUGGCUGCUCUCAUGACGUUUUAAAUUUCAUGAUAUUAUUUUCUUUCAUUUUUAUUUUGUUUCACAUGGCCUCCAUGCACUUGUGUAGGUUGUAUUUUGGAAAUGGAUUACCCCAAAGUUGUUGGGUCUGGUUACACAGACCUCAGUAUAUGCAACUCUUUUCAGUGGAACAACAGAGAAGUCAAGCUCUAGAAGCUCAUGCUGCUGCUUUUGCACAAUUUAAAGUUCCAGGGAAUGAGAAUCCUUCUACUCUCAUUUCCUUUGCAACAAAGACUUUUAAUGCUGGCCAAAUUACAUCAAAGUUGCAUGUUAUAGAGCUUGGUGCCCAACCAGGUUAGCUUAGU